GCUUUCAACAUCCCCGUUCCGGAUCAGCGUUCGCCCUUUGCGGAAUAACCGCAAUCGCAUUCGCAUCUGGGGCUGAAGGC
rnacentral:sRNA from 1 species